rnacentral:rRNA from 1 species
GAUGAACGCUGGCGGCGUGCUUAACACAUGCAAGUCGAACGGAAAGGCCCAAGCUUGCUUGGGUACUCGAGUGGCGAACGGGUGAGUAACACGUGGGUGAUCUGCCCUGCACUUCGGGAUAAGCCUGGGAAACUGGGUCUAAUACUGGAUAGGACCACUUCUUGGAUGGUGUGGUGGAAAGUUUUUUCGGUGUGGGAUGAGCUCGCGGCCUAUCAGCUUGUUGGUGGGGUAAUGGCCUACCAAGGCGUCGACGGGUAGCCGGCCUGAGAGGGUGUACGGCCACAUUGGGACUGAGAUACGGCCCAGACUCCUACGGGAGGCAGCAGUGGGGAAUAUUGCACAAUGGGCGCAAGCCUGAUGCAGCGACGCCGCGUGGGGGAUGACGGCCUUCGGGUUGUAAACUCCUUUCGCUAGGGACGAAGCGUUUUGUGACGGUACCUGGAGAAGAAGCACCGGCUAACUACGUG